AAAAAAGUGGAUUCGUUAAUAUCACGCUGGCGAGAAAAGCCUGAUGGUGUUCAACAGGGUGCCCGUACCGUAAACCGACACAGGUGGGUGAGAUGAGUAUUCUCAGGCGCGCGAGUGAAAUCUCUCUAAGGAACUCGGCACAUUAGCCCCGUAACUUCGGAAGAAGGGGCGCCCCGGAUCGUCAGAUUAUAUCAAAGCGAACUGGGGCCGCAGUGAAAGGCGCUCUACGACUGUUUAACAAAAACACAGCUCUGUGCGAAUUCGCAAGAAACUGUAUACAGAGUGACAAGUGACCAAUGCGGAAAGAUUAAGGCGAGGGGUCAAGGCGUAAGCCUGAAGCUCUAAACUUAAGUCCCCGUGAAUGUCGGCCGUAACUAUAACGGUCCUAAGGUAGCGAAAUUCCUUGUCGGGUAAGUUCCGACCUGCACGAAUCUUGUAACGAGAGAGCGACUGUCUCGGAGAGAGGCUCGGCGAAACUGUAGUUGCGGUGAAGAUGCCGCAUACCCGCAGUAGGACGGAAAGACCCCGUGCACCUUUACUGUAAGCUGUUAUUGGACUUUGGUGUGUGAUACGUAGCGUAGGUGGGACCCUUUGAUGCCAGGCUUUCGGGUCUGGCGGAGGGAUCAAUGAAACACCACUUUUCGCUCAUUAAGGUUCUAACCUUGUGCCGUUAACCGGCCAAGGGACCGUGGCAGCGGGUCAGUUUGACUGGGGCGGUUUCCUCUCAAAGAGUAACGGAGGAGUACGAAGCUUGGCUCAACCUGGUUGGCAAUCAGGUGUUGAGGAUAUGGCUAAAAGCCAGGCUAACUGUGAGACCAACAAGUCGAGCAGAUACGAAAGUAGGUCCAAGUGAUCCGGCGGUAGAAUGUGGAAUUGCCGUCGCUCAUCGGACAAAAGGUACGCCGGGGAUAACAGGCUUAUCGGGCCCAAGAGUUCAUAUCGACGGCCCGGUUUGGCACCUCGAUGUCGGCUCAUCGCAUCCUGGGGCUGGAGAAGGUCCCAAGGGUCCGGCUGUUCGCCGGUUAAAGCGGUACGCGAGCUGGGUUCAGAACGUCGUGAGACAGUUCGGUCCUUAUCCACUGUGGGCGCAGCAGACGUGAGGGAUUUGUUCCUUAGUACGAGAGGACCGGCAACAACGCUCCUCCAGUAUUCCGGUUAUUCUGUCAAGAGUAGCGCCGGGUAGCUGUGAGCGGAAACGAUAAGCGCUGAUAGCAUCUAAGCGCCAAGCGCCUCCCAAGAUUACGUCUGACGGACGCAAGUCCCUAAAGGCUCGAGGAAGACUACCUCGUCGAUGCCGGGUGUGUAAACGUGGCAACACGUGAGCUGACCGGUACUAAUUAGCCGUGAGGCUUGAUCAC
rnacentral:rRNA from 1 species